AUUGAACGCUGGCGGCAGGCCUAACACAUGCAAGUCGAGCGGAUGAAGGGAGCUUGCUCCUGGAUUCAGCGGCGGACGGGUGAGUAAUGCCUAGGAAUCUGCCUGGUAGUGGGGGAUAACGUCCGGAAACGGGCGCUAAUACCGCAUACGUCCUGAGGGAGAAAGUGGGGGAUCUUCGGACCUCACGCUAUCAGAUGAGCCUAGGUCGGAUUAGCUAGUUGGUGGGGUAAAGGCCUACCAAGGCGACGAUCCGUAACUGGUCUGAGAGGAUGAUCAGUCACACUGGAACUGAGACACGGUCCAGACUCCACGGGAGGCAGCAGUGGGGAAUAUUGGACAAUGGGCGAAAGCCUGAUCCAGCCAUGCCGCGUGUGUGAAGAAGGUCUUCGGAUUGUAAAGCACUUUAAGUUGGGAGGAAGGGCAGUAAGUUAAUACCUUGCUGUUUUGACGUUACCAACAGAAUAAGCACCGGCUAACUUCGUG
rnacentral:rRNA from 1 species